rnacentral:rRNA from 1 species
AGCAGUCGCCGCGGUAAAACGAAGGGGGCUAGCGUUGUUCGGAUUUACUGGGCGUAAAGCGCACGUAGGCGGAUCCUUAAGUCAGAGGUGAAAUCCCAAGGCUCAACCUUGGAACUGCCUUUGAUACUGGGGAUCUCGAGUUCGGGAGAGGUGAGUGGAACUGCGAGUGUAGAGGUGAAAUUCGUAGAUAUUGGGAAGAACACCAGUGGCGAAGGCGGCUCACUGGACCGACACUGACGCUGAGGAGCGAAAGCGUGGAGAGCGAACAGGAUUAGAUACCCCAGUAGUCCCUGUCUCUUAUAC